UACGUAGGGGGCAAGCGUUGUCCGGAUUUAUUGGGCGUAAAGAGCGUGUAGGCGGCCUGAAAGGUCAGCUGUGAAAACUCGAGGCUCAACCUCGAGACGUCGGUUGAAACCAUCUGGCUAGAGUCCGGAAGAGGAGAGUGGAAUUCCCGGUGUAGCGGUGAAAUUCGUAGAUAUUCGGAGGAACACCAGUGGCGAAGGCGGCUCACUGGUCCAUUACUGACGCUGAGGUGCGAAAGCGUGGGGAGCAAACAGG
rnacentral:rRNA from 1 species